rnacentral:rRNA from 1 species
AACGAACGCUGGCGGCGUGUUUAAGACAUGCAAGUCGCACGGAGUAACUUGGUAGCAAUACUUCAGUUACUUAGUGGCGCACGGGUGAGUAACACGUGAAUUACAUGCCCUGUAGAGGGGAAUAGCCCAGGGAAACUUGGAUUAAUACCCCAUAGUCUCGCAAGAGUAAAGGUGGCCGCAAGGCUGUCGCUACAGGAUUGGUUCGCGCCCUAUCAGCUAGUUGGUGAGGUAAUGGCUCUCCAAGGCGAUGACGGGUACCUGGAUUGAGAGGACGAUCAGGCACACUGGACCUGAGACACGGUCCAGACACCUACGGGUGGCAGCAGUCGAGAAUAAUUCACAAUGGGGGCAACCCUGAUGGUGCAACGCCGCGUGGAGGAUGAAGGUCUUCGGAUUGUAAACUCCUGUCAUCUGGGAGUAAGACCUGGCUGUGAAUAGCAGACAGGGUUGAUAGUACCAGAAGAGGAAGGGACGGCUAACUUCGUGCCAGCCGCCGCAGUAA